CUGCAGCAGCCAGGCGUAGGCCAGGCCCUGGCCUGACGGAGCCCCGCUGCUUUCGGGCAGCCAGGCCAGGCUUCUCUGGCAGAGAGCGACCGGCCCGGGGCAGGCAAGCGGGAGAGUCGCCCCCGCAGGCUUAGGAGCCGGGAUAGAGCACCUCCUCAUUCUAGACCUCGGUUCAAGCAGCCUACUCGAAUUAUAUAAUAAUCAUAUUCGAGUAGGCUGUUUCUGUCGCUGUUUCUGUUCUCAAGCCCUGAGAGGACAAGAGGUGCAGAUAGUCCCGAAAGCUGUGGUGCGACCCUGUGCCCUCAACAGAUGCUUGCUACGAAUAUAGUCAAGGAGUGUCACCUUCUGAUAUACUUAACGUUGCUAGCUGUGCCUGCUGGAUUUCUGCUUCAUGUGUCAGUGUUAACACAGAAGCCCUCCCAGAAAUACGGAUUGCAGUUCUCCUUAGCCCAAAGCUUCCUGUCAAGCACACUAAGAGAUGGGAUAAGCCAAAGAAGUAUCCCUUGGAAGAUCUUGCUCUGUGGGCAAAACAGAAAACGAC